rnacentral:rRNA from 1 species
UACGGGGGGGGGCAAGCGUUGUUCGGAAUUACUGGGCGUAAAGGGCUCGUAGGCGGCCGACUCAGUCGGACGUGAAAUCCCUCGGCUUAACCGGGGAAUGGCGUCCGAUACUAGUCGGCUCGAGUGUGGGAGAGGGAUGCGGAAUUCCAGGUGUAGCGGUGAAAUGCGUAGAUAUUGGGAGGAAUACCGGUGGCGAAGGCGGCUCCCUGGACCGGUACUGACGCUGAGGCGCGAAAGCGUGGGUAGCAAACAGG